rfam:Medicago truncatula strain A17 unplaced genomic scaffold scaffold0014, whole genome shotgun sequence.
AAACCAUGAUGGGGGCAAGCCUAAGCAUUUCUUUGAAACGCUCCCACACAUCGUAAUGAUAAUCCCCAUCCCUUUGAGUGAAUCGUGUGAUUUGAUUCCUCAAUUG